GUAACGAUUAAACUAUGCGGUAUGCCCAACCCCUAUAAAGGAGAGGGCGUUUAAUAGGGAAUACGGUGUGAAUCCGUAACAGUACCCGCUGCUGUAAGUUCCAUUAGGUCAGGAGAGUAGGAAAAUUCUACACUCCUGACACUCAAAAAAUCGCUUUGCACAACUCACAAGCCACUGGGUGUCACAACUCCGGGAAGGCACGGCAAAGAGUAUAGGAACAAGUCAGAAGACCUGCCCAAAGUUUAGCUAUUCA
rnacentral:ncRNA from 1 species